rnacentral:rRNA from 1 species
UCUUGCCUACGGGGGGCAGCAGUGAGGAAUAUUGGUCAAUGGGAGGAAUCCUGAACCAGCCAUGCCGCGUGCAGGACGACGGCUCUACGAGUUGUAAACUGCUUUUGUACCGGGGUAAAAUGCCUUACGAGUAGGGUUUUGAAAGUACGGUACGAAUAAGGAUCGGCUAACUCCGUGCCAGCAGCCGCGGUAAUACGGAGGAUCCGAGCGUUAUCCGGAUUCAUUGGGUUUAAAGGGUGCGUAGGCGGUUUUUUAAGUUAGUGGUUAAACGCCGGGGCUUCACCUUGAUUUGCCAUUAAUAAUGU